UUUGGGACUAGUAUUGGAAGAUUUUUAGGACCUGAAUACUUGCUGAAGUUGUACCUUGCUGGGGCAGUUGGUGGUUCAGUUUUUUACUUGACCCAUCAAGCCUAUAAGGCAUUAACAUCAAAGGGUUGGAGGCGUGUGGAGGUUUCAAAACAUCAAGCAUUGGUAAGCUCCU